rnacentral:rRNA from 1 species
CCCUUAGUACUGCGAGUGAAGAGGGAAAGCUCAAAUUAAAAUCUGGCAGCAUUUUGYUGUCCGAGUUGUAACCUAGAGAAGUGUAACCUGUGCUGGACCGUGUAUAAGUUUCCUGGAAUGGAGCAUCAYAGAGGGUGAGAAUCCCGUCUUUGACAUGGACUACCAGUGCAUUGUGGUUGUGCUCUCAACGAGUCGAGUUGUUUGGGAAUGCAGCUCUAAAUGGGUGGUAAAUUCCAUCUAAAGCUAAAUAUUGGCGAGAGACCGAUAGCGAACAAGUACCGUGAGGGAAAGAUGAAAAGAACUUUGGAAAGAGAGUUAAACAGUAUGUGAAAUUGUUGAAAGGGAAACGUUUGAAGUCAGUCGCGUUAGCUGGGGAUCAGCCUGACAUUGUUGGGUGCACUUCCUGGUUGACGGGCCAACAUCAGUUUUGACUGCCAGAAAAAGGCCRAGGGAAUGUGGCACCUUUGGGUGUGUUAUAGCCUUUGGUCAUAUAUGGUGGUUGGGACUGAGGAAUGCAGUGUGCCGAAAGGCCGGGUUUCGACCACGUUCACACUGAGGAUGUUGGCAUAAUGGCUUUAAGCGACCCGUCUUGAAACACGGACCAAGGAGUCUAACAUGCAUGCGAGUGUUUGGGUGGAAAACCCUUACGCGUAAUGAAAGUGAAAGUUGAGAUCCCUGUCAUGGGGAGCAUCGACGCCCGGACCAGAACUUUUGGGACGGAUCUGCGGUAGAGCACGUAUGUUGGGACCCGAAAGAUGGUGAACUAUGCCUGAAUAGGGUGAAGCCAGAGGAAACUCUGGUGGAGGCUCGUAGCGAUUCUGACGUGCAAAUCGAUCGUCAAAUUUGGGUAUAGGGGCGAAAGACUAA